rnacentral:siRNA from 1 species
GAUACCCCAAUGGAGAUGGCCUA